GACGUAGGGUGCGAGCGUUGUCCGGAAUUAUUGGGCGUAAAGAGCUCGUAGGCGGCUUGUCGCGUCGGCUGUGAAAACCCGGGGCUCAACCCCGGGCCUGCAGUCGAUACGGGCAGACUAGAGUGCGGUAGGGGAGACUGGAAUUCCUGGUGUAGCGGUGAAAUGCGCAGAUAUCAGGAGGAACACCGAUAGCGAAGGCAGCUCGCUGGGACGGUACUGACGCUGAGGCGCGAAAGCGUGGGGAGCGAACAGG
rnacentral:rRNA from 1 species